rnacentral:lncRNA from 11 species
GGGGCACCUCCGAUCCCCCCACAAAAGCCUCCUCAGUCUCCUCCUCCUCUUGCUCCCCUCCCUCCCUCCCUCCUCUCCCGGAAGCCAGAGCUGCUGAGAAAGAGAGGAGGGGGUCUCCCUUCCUCCCCGGAUUGGUCGGCGGCCCCCUCUCCCUGAGCGUCGAAGGAGGCGCUGAUUGGCCGCUCCAUCUUGUCACUCGGGCGAGGGCCAAGUUCUACCGCGGGCUGGGCGUGCGGACGGGGACUGCUGCUGCUGCUGCUGGUGGUGCAGCUGCGGCGAGAGCGAGCGGGACCGAGAGGCAGCGCGAGCACCAGAGCCAGAGGCGUGAUGCUGGCGAAAUGGGGAGCCGGGCAACAGAGGAUGCGGGGACUCCGCUGAAGGCGCGGCGGGGGCUGCCCAGACGCCGCCUCCGAUGAAGCAGACAAGUUGGUCUGGAUUCAGAAAAAAAGCAUAUGGUGGGUUGCUGUGAGUCUUUCGGGCUGUGUGGCCAUGUUCCAGAAGCUUUCUCUCCUGACGUUUCACCCACAUCUGUGGCAGGCAUCCUCAGAGCUUGUGAGGUAUGUUGAGUUUAUAUCUCUGUGUAAGUGGGGUUUUAUAUCUCUGUGUAAGGUCCAGGGUGGGAGAAAAAAUUGUCUGUUGGAAGCAUGUGUGGAUGUUGUAAUUAAUCACCUUGAUUAGCAUUUCAUGGCCCUGUGGCCUCAAGAUCUGGCUUCUUCCUGUAUGUGAGAAUCUUUCCUUUGGAGGUGUUAGCUGUCCCUGAUUGUUUCAUGUCUGGAAUUUCUCUGUUUUCAGAGUGUUGUUCUUUAUUUACUGUUCUGAUUUGAAAUACUGGUAGCCAGAUUUUGUUCAUUUUUAUGGUUUCCUCCUUUCUGUUGAAAUUGUCUCCAUGCUUGUGGAUUUCAAUGGCUUCUCUGUGUAGUCUGAUGUGGUAGUUGUGAGAGUGGUCCAGCAUUUCUGUGUUCUCAAAUAAUAUGCUGUGUCCAGGUUGGUUCAGCAAGUGCUCUGCUAUGGCGGACUUCUCUGGUUGAAGUAGUCUGCAGUACCUUUCAUGUUUUUUGAUUUGUGUUUGGGCAAUGCUGCGUUUGGUGGUCUCUAUGUAAACUUGUCCACAACUGCAUGGUAUAUGGUAGACUCCUGCAAAGGUGAGAAGAUCCCUCUUGUCCUUCGCUGAACAUAGCAUUUGUUGGAUUUUCUUAGUGGGUCUGUAUUUAUUAUUCAUUUAUUUAUUUGUUUAUUAACAUUUCUAUACUGCUUUUCUUACCCCUGGGGGGACUCAAAGCGGUUUACAACAUAAUAAAUAGCAAAAUUCAAUGCCUCACAUAUGUAUAAAAAUAUAUCACAUAUAAAUCAAAAACAUAUACAGUAGAGUCUCACUUAUCCAACACUUGU